CGGCUCCCGUACGAUCACCGAAGUUAAGCAACGUCGAGCCUGGUCAGUACGCAGAUGGGUGACCGCUUGAGAAUAUCAGGUGCUGUAAG